UACGUAGGUGGCAAGCGUUGUCCGGAUUUACUGGGCGUAAAGAGCGCGCAGGCGGUCGUUCAAGUCGCGUGUGAAAGCCCCCGGCUCAACUGGGGAGGGUCACGCGAUACUGAUCGACUCGAAGGCAGGAGAGGGUAGUGGAAUUCCCGGUGUAGCAGUGAAAUGCGUAGAGAUGCGGAGGAACACCGGUGGCGAAGGCGGGUCUCUGGGCCGACACUGACGCUGAGGAGCGAAAGCUAGGGGAGCAAACGGG
rnacentral:rRNA from 1 species